GCCAGCAGCCGCGGUAAUACGGAGGGUGCGAGCGUUAAUCGGAAUUACUGGGCGUAAAGCGCAUGCAGGCGGCCGUGUUAAGUCAGAUGUGAAAGACCCGGGGCGUUAACCUCGGAAUUGCAUUUGAAACUGGCAGGCUAGAGUCUUGUAGAGGGGGGUAGGAAGUUUCAGGUGUAGCGGUGAAAUGCGUAGAGAUCUGAAGGAAUACCAGUGGCGAAGGCGGCCCCUGGACAAAGACUGACGCUCAGAUGCGAAAGCGUGGGGAGCAAACAGGAUUAGAUACCCUGGUAG
rnacentral:rRNA from 1 species